rnacentral:rRNA from 1 species
AAACUGGGAUUAGAUACCCCACUAUGCCGAGCCGUAAACUUUGGACCUAUUCCCGCCCGAGUAUUACGAGCCAUAGCUUAAAACUCAAAGGACUUGGCGGUGCCUUACAUCCACCUAGAGGAGCCUGUUCUAUAAUUGAUAACCCCCAAUAAACCUCACCCCCUCUUGCAAAUACAGCCUAUAUACCACCGUCAUCGCCAACCUCAUUAGAGAAUAAUAGUAGGCCAAAUAAUUAAAAAUUAAAAAGUCAGGUCAAGGUGUAGCAAAUGAGCCGGAAGUAAAUGGGCUACAUUUCCUUUAAAGGAAACACGAAAUACUUUAUGAAACAAGGAACGAAGGAGGAUUUAGUAGUAAAAAGAAAAUAGAGUGUUCUUUUUAAAUUGGCAAUAAGGCGAGCACACACCGCCCGUCACCCUCUUAAAUAUACUACAAAUAAAAUAUGUAACCAAUUCAUUAAAGUAGAGGAAAGUCGUAACAUGGUAAAGCGCACA